UGUAACACAAAGGGAAGUUUAAUGGACCCAAGUGAGCUGUGCAAAUAUUCUUUAGAGCGGCUACCUGCUAAACUAAACAAAUGUCCUUAGAAGUUGUAAUGUCUGGCACCUUAACAAUUGCGUACUCUACCCCUCUGAUGGCUCUAAAAGGGAUAUUGGGGUCAGUGGAGGUUUCAUCAUAGACGAUUAUGGGACAAAUUUUACUUAUAGAAUUCCUUGGUGAGCAAAUAAGGUUAUUUCUUUUAUUACAGGGUACUGCAUAAUUGGAACACAUGCCAGAAGGAUGGGCCUACGGUUUAACUAUUUCUUUAGAAGUUGUCGAAAUGAAGAAGAGAAGGAGACUGUGUCCCACCUAUUCUGCCAAACUUGAGGGAACGUACUCUUGUGUUUGGAUGAGUUAUCAAGGAUGAAACAUUCCUUCAUCAUAGAAUCUGGCUGGUUAACCUUGGAAAUUACGCAUGUUAUAAAUUACCUGCUGUUUACUAAUGGGAUCAGUUAUGAAUGGACCCAAAGGAAGCUGUCCGUUUGGGAAUUUCAGUUGGGAUGAUAAAAUUUUGGUAAUUUCAACUGACUAUUUGAUGCUAGAACCGAACUAAUGUACUGAUAUAAUGAAAUCAUUCGCUUGCAAACAAAUUUGAUGAUUACAACAAAUCCGUUUUCUCUGAGCCGAAAUCAUACUCAAAACCAAAAAUGAUGGAGAAGACUUUUAAGGACACAAAGAAACCUUUCAGAGCAAGAACUGAAACAGUAUAUAAAAUUGAUUAAUAUAACAUACUUACCUUUAUUUAAAUCCCAUUUAAUGUAUGUAUGUAAUACUAGUAUUUUGUUUUAUAUUCUUAUUUUAUUUAUAAUUUUCAUUUUAUUUAAAAUAAAUUUAAGAUUUUAAUUAAAUGAGGAAAAACUAAAGGUCUCAAUAAACCAAAGAAUAUUAUAAUAGCGAUAAUGAUUUAUAUAAUUAUGAAUAUUGGUCUGUUAAAAACUAAAAUUUUUAUUUUUAUUUAAAAUUCUAAAAUUUUGAAAAUGUUAUCAUCAGCGGAAAAAAACUUUAUCUAUGGUAUUUUAGUUGCUGUUGGAUGAUAUAUGACUUUGGUUUACUAAGUGAUAAGUUUUAUUAUAUUUAAUCAUUUAAGUUGAAAUGAAAGUUAAAAUAAAGAAAAUCAUGUGAUCGAUUAUAUUGGUA